rnacentral:rRNA from 1 species
AUUGAACGCUGGCGGCAUGCCUUACACAUGCAAGUCGAACGGUAACGGGCCUUCGGGUGCCGACGAGUGGCGAACGGGUGAGUAAUGCAUCGGAACGUACCUUUCAGUGGGGGAUAACGUAGCGAAAGUUACGCUAAUACCGCAUAUUCUGUGAGCAGGAAAGCAGGGGAUCGCAAGACCUUGCGCUGAUUGAGCGGCCGAUGUCAGAUUAGCUAGUUGGUGAGGUAAAGGCUCACCAAGGCGACGAUCUGUAGCGGGUCUGAGAGGAUGAUCCGCCACACUGGGACUGAGACACGGCCCGGAUUCCUACGGGAGGCAGCAGUGGGGAAUUUUGGACAAUGGGGGCAACCCUGAUCCAGCCAUGCCGCGUGAGUGAAGAAGGCCUUCGGGUUGUAAAGCUCUUUCGGCCGGGAAGAAAUCGCACAGGCUAAUACCUUGUGUGGAUGACGGUACCGGAAUAAGAAGCACCGGCUAACUACGUGCCAGCAGCCGCGGUAACAC